rnacentral:lncRNA from 1 species
GCCCCUUGGAAGCCAAGAAUAUGAGGAAGUCUUCUUCCUUCGCGCCUUCUUCUUCCUUACGCUCCAGGGCAGCCUGACAGAGCCGCUCGAAGGCUCUGCUGGCCGCGGCUAGCCGGUUUACCCAUUCCACUGGACCCAGCCACCACCCACUCCUGCUGUCUGGUAAACUUUCCUCCUGUUUCUGGGGCCAUGUCUGGCAUGAAGAGUUUUUACUGAAUAGUUUUCAUUGAUCGCAGGCCAGUUCUCUCUUCUCACCCCUUUAUUGAAGUGACAGUGAAAAUCUAAGUGAGAAAGCACUGUUACAGGGGCUGAAAAGGCUACAGGAGACCAGAGCCAUUGACUUUUAUUUUUAAAAUGAAGAUCUCUUUUACUUGAAGGAACUUAAGAAUUUUGGCAUUCAAAUAGGGGCUGGAAGACUUGAAAGCAGUAGAAAUUUCACCACAGGUGAUAGGAAAGGAUGAUCACGAAAUGAAUAUCUCCUGACUUGCACACCUAGUGAGCAGAGCCAGGAAGGACCUCCUUCACCUUAGCAUUUGGAACAGGCUGCAAAGUUCAUUCUUCCUCAUAGCAGCCCCUGCAUUCAGUUUGGUUUAGUUGUUUUAUGUGGUUUCUAGCCUGAUUUUUUUUUUCAGGGUGCAGCAGAAGUCUCAGGUAGCUGAGAAGUUCAUGGAAUCUUCUUAUUUGCUACACCUUUCACUACUGCUUGUGAUAUAGUGCAGGGUUGGGAUGUGCAGACAUUUCUCAAGUGCACUGUGUACCUACACAGCAUGCUGCAAUUUGGCUACUGAAGUCAAGAGAAACUGGUUUGAACAACUACUGAGUGUAACAUAGGAAGCGCAUUUCAUUUGAUAACAGGAACACAGCUUUUGUGCUAAUAAAAUGCUUUGAAAAU